rnacentral:rRNA from 1 species
UACGUAGGGGGCAAGCGUUGUCCGGAAUCAUUGGGCGUAAAGCGCGUGUAGGCGGCUCGAUAAGUCUGCUGUGAAAGUCCAGGGCUCAACCCUGGGAUGCCGGUGGAUACUGUCGAGCUCGAGUCCGGAAGAGGCGAGUGGAAUUCCCGGUGUAGCGGUGAAAUGCGCAGAUAUCGGGAGGAACACCAAUUGCGAAGGCAGCUCGCUGGGACGAUACUGACGCUGAGGCGCGAAAGCGUGGGGAG